ACCGAGAGCGCGGCCAACCAACAAGCGUCGAAGCCGCCGCGUUGGCUCAGCCCUGCUUGCCCCGCGCAGCCACGGUCGGUUGGGCUCUGCCAAGAAAACGGCCAGAACGACCCUGAUCAGCUUUGCGAGUGGAAUCACGAAACAGAACUACAGGAGAAGUGCUCUUCGCUAAGCAUACUCUACAUGAUAACCAUACAACGGGACAGAGGAGGACAGAGAGACGUGGCAGCUAGCACUGCAGCUCUAGAAGAAGCUGCUGAACUGGUUGGUCAGCGAGUCCUUGAGGUUGGAGAAGAGCCCGAACAGGGAGUACUGCCGGAGCUUGGACACCUCGUACCACGAGUUGAGCACGGCCUCGUGCCUGUCCGUGCCGGAGAACGCGAGCUGGAUCCCGGGGCUGCACUCCACCUGCCCGCCCUUGCCCCUGCAGCUCGCCGUCCUGACCGCGCAGCUGCCGUCCACGCACGCGAAGUCGGAGCGCCCGGAGCACGACGAGCACCCGCCGGCCUUCCAGAACAGGUUCUGGAGCGUGCCCUUCUGGAACUCCAGGACCUGAAGCGCGACGCAAGACGGGUCGUCGGAGGCUCGGUUAGCCAAGUCAAUUUUUUAUCCCUUUUUGAUUGAGGAGCUGCGUGUGGGCGUACGUACCAGGGUGAAGCCGGUCACCGUGUACGAGAUGUUGCCGACGAACACAGGGGGUGACCUCGCUGCGUAUUUCUUCCCGGCGAAAGCCACCAUGUACACACCAGAAGAAGACUGGAACAGGGC
rnacentral:misc_RNA from 1 species